rnacentral:rRNA from 1 species
GUACACUCCUACGGGAGGCAGCAGUGGGGAAUUUUGGACAAUGGGGGCAACCCUGAUCCAGCAAUGCCGCGUGAGUGAAGAAGGCCUUCGGGUUGUAAAGCUCUUUUGUCAGGGAAGAAACGGUAGUAGCGAAUAACUAUUACUAAUGACGGUACCUGAAGAAUAAGCACCGGCUAACUACGUGCCAGCAGCCGCGGUAAUACGUAGGGUGCAAGCGUUAAUCGGAAUUACUGGGCGUAAAGCGUGCGCAGGCGGUUGUGUAAGUCAGAUGUGAAAUCCCCGGGCUCAACCUGGGAAUUGCAUUUGAGACUGCACGGCUAGAGUGUGUCAGAGGGGGGUAGAAUUCCACGUGUAGCAGUGAAAUGCGUAGAUAUGUGGAGGAAUACCGAUGGCGAAGGCAGCCCCCUGGGAUAACACUGACGCUCAUGCACGAAAGCGUGGGGAGCAAACAGGAUUAGAAACCCUGGUAGUCCCA